GGUUGCGAUCAUACCAGCACUAACGCACCGGAUCCCAUCAGAACUCCGCAGUUAAGCGUGCUUGGCAGAGUAGUACUAGGAUGGGUGACCCCCUGGGAAGUCCUCGUGUUGCAACCC
rnacentral:rRNA from 1 species